CCCAUGCGUAGGAGGUACCUGAUCGUAGACAAAUGAAAGCAAGAUUUGAAUGAUUAUUUUAGUCACAUCUGUUAGGGAUUCUUGCGGUCAAUUUUCAGUCUACAAAUGAUAUGUAAUUAUAUUUCGCCCGUUUUCUAUUUAGAUUUUCUAUUCACCAGGAUAGUGACACGGGGGGUCCAGGCAGCCCAACAAAUUAUCCGGUGAAACAAUUCCGUCUACGCUGUGCUGUGGUUUUUGGUUCGUUAACGUCACGUUUAAUUUUUCUAACUUGCGCUGGCAUUCUACACAUGGUGUAUUUUUUUUUUUUUAAUGAGGUGGGGGGGUUGGGCAUGCUCGACAUGGCCUUCCAGGAUGCAAUCAAAGGCACUAGAUCUAUGGACUCUCACUCCUGACACGAUGGCAGUUUUUCCUCAGACUAAGGGUCACUGUCUGGAGCAGUGGGUGGAUGAUCUUCUGAGUUGGCCCGCAUCAUUAGGACUAAAGCCGGAAGCAAGAGGGGUAGGAGAAGUGGUGUCUUUGCUGUGGAUUAGUAGGUCAUCAUCUGGAUCGGUCUGGCAGUUUGUGUUACUUUCACAAGUGAAUGCAGGAGAUGAAGAGGAAGGCCCAAGAAAACAUGACAGAGAACAUUGGAGACUGAGCACCAACAACAACUAGCAUAAUGUAGAGGGCUGCGGGUCCUGACCGAUCAUUGCGGCACGGUCAGCAUCUUUAACGCUGCGGGUCCCAUAGAUGAUUUAGAAAUGGUCAUCUUUCUGCUUUGUACGCGUUAGCCUAGUACUACAUGUAUUGGACCGUGGUUGGGACCUCUAAUUAAAUGCAAGACUCAUGAUUACCCUACAUUAACAAACGUGAUAUUACACUACAACUUACCUCUAAACUGUCCUGAUUAAGUUUGGCUGUGCACAGACAUUUUAAAGCAUUUUCCUCUGCUUCAUUCGUUAUUUUUCAGGACACUCGGUAGGGUUAGUUUGAAGCCUUGCUGGCAUGGUAGAGUAGUUCCUGACCUAAAAAUAGAUUGGUUUAUAUUUUGGUUGUACCUUAAGGUUGCUGGUACUUUAAUUGGGGAGGACUGACUGUGGUAAUGGUUGGAGUGAAAUGGUAUCAAAUCCAUUAAACACAUAGUUUCCAUGUGUUCAAUGCCAUUCCAAUGGUUCCGUUCCAGCCAUUAUUUUGAGCCGUCCUCCCCUAAGCAGCCUCCGCUGGUGAAAUAGUGUGUUUAGAGGUCAGAAUGGGAGUCCAAAUAGUCCUGCAUAACAGGAGAAAUAUCUUGGUUUCUGCAAAGCGUGUCAGUGAGUGGGUCCUAGUCUAGUUUGAGGUGGAAGAAGCAUGCCUUAUUUAAUGUAUUUGUUUUAAAUCAACUUAAAUUUCCAUGUUUCAAUCCAUUGUAUUGCUUCCCGAAGGAAAUCCAGCUUGAAGCUGUUCUCUUGUCUGAGAGCCCUCCAUGGAUUUCUAUCCCAGCAAGAUCUAGAAGGAAAAAGCAUGUGUUGGUCUGAUAGUGAUUUCUAUGUGCAAGGUUUUAAACUGUGUAAUACACCCUGUACUGAUUGCAUUUACAUUUGAUUGAAC
ensembl:lncRNA